rnacentral:rRNA from 1 species
UAAUACAGAGGGUGCAAGCGUUGUUCGGAAUUACUGGGCGUAAAGCGCGCGCAGGCGGAUCCUGUAAGUCGGAAGUGAAAUUUCGGGGCUCAACUCCGAAGCUGCUUCUGAUACUGCGGAUCUGGGGACCGGUAGAGGCUGGUGGAAUUGCAGGUGUAGCGGUGGAAUGCGUAGAGAUCUGCAAGAACACCCGUGGCGAAGGCGGCCAGCUGGGCCGGGUCCGACGCUGAGGCGCGAAAGCGUGGGGAGCAAACAGGAUUAGAUACCCUGGUAGUCCACGCCGUAAACGAUGGGCACUAGGUGCCGGGGGGAGCGACCCCUUCGGUGCCGCAGCUAACGCGAUAAGUGCCCCGCCUGGGGAGUACGGCCGCAAGGCUG